UACGUAGGGGGCAAGCGUUGUCCGGAUUUAUUGGGCGUAAAGAGCGUGUAGGCGGUUCGGUAGGUCCGUUGUGAAAACUCGAGGCUCAACCUCGAGACGCCGAUGGAAACCAUCGAACUAGAGUCCGGAAGAGGAGAGUGGAAUUCCUGGUGUAGCGGUGGAAUGCGCAGAUAUCAGGAGGAACACCGAUGGCGAAGGCAGGUCUCUGGGCCACUACUGACGCUGAGAAGCGAAAGCAUGGGGAGCAAACGGG
rnacentral:rRNA from 1 species